rnacentral:rRNA from 1 species
UACGUAGGGAGCAAGCGUUGUCCGGAAUCAUUGGGCGUAAAGCGCGCGUAGGUGGCCUCAUAAGUCCGCUGUGAAAGUCAAAGGCUCAACCUUUGAAAGCCGGUGGAUACUGUGAGGCUAGAGUACGGAAGAGGCGAGUGGAAUUCCUGGUGUAGCGGUGGAAUGCGUAGAUAUCUGGAGGAAUACCGGUGGCGAAGGCGGCAUCCUGGACCGGCAUUGACGCUGAGUGAGCGAAAGCCAGGGGAGCAAACGGG